rnacentral:rRNA from 1 species
CCUACGGGAGGCAGCAGUAGGGAAUCUUCCACAAUGGGCGAAAGCCUGAUGGAGCAACGCCGCGUGGGUGAAGAAGGUCUUCGGAUCGUAAAACCCUGUUGUUAGAGAAGAAAGUGCGUGAGAGUAACUGUUCACGUUUCGACGGUACCUAACCAGAAAGCCACGGCUAACUACGUGCCAGCAGCCGCGGUAAUACGUAGGUGGCAAGCGUUAUCCGGAUUUAUUGGGCGUAAAGGGAACGCAGGCGGUCUUUUAAGUCUGAGGUGAAAGCCUUCGGCUUAACCGGAGUAGUGCAUUGGAAACUGGGAGACUGGAGUGCAGAAGAGGUGGGUGGAACUCCAGGUGUAGCGGUGAAAUGCGUAGAUAUAUGGAAGAACACCAGGGGCGAAAGCAGCUCUCUGGUCUGUAACUGACGCUGGGGUUCGAAAGCGUGGGUAGCAAACAGGAUUAAUACCCGUGUAGUC